AACGAACGCUGGCGGCAUGCCUAACACAUGCAAGUCGAACGAGACCUUCGGGUCUAGUGGCGCACGGGUGCGUAACGCGUGGGAACCUGCCCUUAGGUUCGGAAUAACUCCCCGAAAGGGGUGCUAAUACCGGAUAAUGUCUUCGGACCAAAGAUUUAUCGCCUUUGGAUGGGCCCGCGUUGGAUUAGCUAGUUGGUAGGGUAAAAGCCUACCAAGGCGACGAUCCAUAGCUGGUCUGAGAGGAUGAUCAGCCACACUGGGACUGAGACACGGCCCAGACUACUACGGGAGGGAGCAGUGGGGAAUAUUGGACAAUGGGCGAAAGCCUGAUCCAGCAAUGCCGCGUGAGUGAUGAAGGCCUUAGGGUUGUAAAGCUCUUUUACCCGGGAUGAUAAUGACAGUACCGGGAGAAUAAGCUCCGGCUAACUCCGUG
rnacentral:rRNA from 1 species